GUGUGUUUCUCUUUGACUUUUUUCGUUACUCCCCGCCUCUUUUCUCUCAUUGCAUAUUGCUUUAUCCUCCAAGAGUAAUGCAUUAUUGUAGUGCGUGCAAGAACGACUUGUAGUCAUGUGUUUGAAAUUAUGAAUCCACUGUUUAUAUUUUAUUGAUAGUGGCGAAUAAAUUAUCGGAUACAAAUCAUUUUUACGAAUGUAUUUUUCCUUUAACUGCAGCUUAUCGAAAAUCAAAAAUACUUAUUAUCUAUUCACUUAUAUUUGCUUGUAUAUUUCAUUGUGUAUUAUAAUGUAUUUUUAAUAAAGAUGUAGAAAACUUUUGCAUAAUCACAAGAAGUAUUCAACUACUAUUGUGGAAUGAGGCUGACGAUAAUUUUUUUUUUAUUGUGUAAUGGUCUAGAAGGAAUAAACCUGUAAUUUUAUUUGCCUGGACAUUAUUUAAUACAACAGAAAUAAAAGUCGAAUCAAGCAACGUCAGGUGACAUAAAAAAAUCUAACAAUAAGAUGAUGGUCAUAAAAGCUUCAUGAAUCAGUACUUAUUUAUGAUUCUACAUGUUCUAUAAUCAUGAAUGAUAAAAUUAUACCAAGAAGAAAACUUUCAGUUUUUCAACGAUCCUUCGAUAUUAAUACGGUAUUUGAAACGACUCAACAUGAUAUAAUCACUGAAAAUCAUAGUCUGAAUGACUGCUUUCCAAUUGAUAAUACUACGAUGAAUAAUUCAGUAAGUGUCAGUACUGCUAACAUCAGUCAUCCAGAAAGAGACGAUAGUUGUGAUAUAAUUUCUCCAUCUACCAGUGAAAAAACUGUUUUUCAAGCAUCAAGAUUCAGUUAUUUAUUUGAAAAAAAUCGAAACAAAAAUAACAAUGAUGAUAAUAAAAGAAAAAACGAAGGAAACGUUACAUGCCGUGAACAGGUAACUGUUGAAAAUCAAUGCAAUGAUGAAAGAGAUUCAAAAUUUAGAACACUUGAUAAAAAUGAUGAUAUUCAGCGUAAUAAAUCACGGAACAAGUUCAAAUCAAUUGACAAAAUACCAGGAUUCGAAGUGAUGAAAUCAAGCGAUGGGAAUUUGUCAGAGAAAAAUAAACUUGAUGUGCCUGAAGAUCAAAACGGAAAUAAUAAAACUGACAACAAAAUGAUUGAGGAAUCAAGUAAAAUGAGGAGAUCAAUGUCAAUUGACGAAAAAACUUAUCGUUACAAUCAAAAAAACAAAGUCAUUUCUUGCUGUAAUUGUCAAUCAAAUCGGUCCCAACAAGAAAACAUAACAUUGCGAAAUUCGAUAACAAACGAGGAAUUUCAAGUGCCAAAUCAUGAACUGUUUCAAAAAUCAGAAAUUGUUAAUCAUAUAAGUUUUGACAAUACCGACAUCAUUAGUUUGUCUGAAGAGGAGUUAGAGCGUAAGUAUCUAGCAUUCUCAAUUGGUGUUUUAACGGAUAAAGGAACAUUAUUUCGUCGACGAGAAAUUUCGAUCCGACAACGAGACCAAACUGAAAAUAAUCUCGUCAGUGAAAUAUUUCAAAUGCAGCACGAUAUUCAGGCACUCGCUCUACCAUGUUCCGACAGUGAAACUGUUGAGAAAAUCGAACGGGCAAGAAAUCGAAUCGCUAUAUUAUUGACAUGUGCACAGAAAGUUUCUUGCGCUGCAGAGACAGUGGGCGCCAUUCAGCAAGAGUGUAAACUUUCACAUGACGUUUAUCAAACUGAUCAAUAUCUAAAAGUCUUACGCAGUAGAUGCAACAAGUAUGCAAUGAAUCUUGCAGAAUCCAAGCGAAUUCUGUCGGAAAACAAUAUAAUCAUCGAUGAAAAUAAUGGUGAACUAAGUGAAGAAUUGACUCCAACACUUCGAUACCGUGGACUACCAAGUUCAACGAAUCGCACUAUGGUCACUAGGAGAAGAGCCAGUAUAGCAACGAUUUUUCGAUCAAUUGGGAACUGUCAAGAAAGAUCAAAGGACAGCGUCAGUCAACGAGAUUUAUUGCCUGGGCGUAUAGCGAUGAGAAGACCUUCCCUUACUACCCAGCUUUAUGUAGUAGAACCAGAAAGGAAAAAUCCAUCAGAAAGCUCAGAUGGUGUUGAAGAAUUCCUAGAAAUAAUAAAACAUGCUGAGCCACGACGAGCUCUACACGAUAAUGACUAUUCAGUCCAAUCUCAUAUCAGCUAUCGGGAUAAAGAUAUUGACGAGACAAGCUUGAAUACAAGGACUCAGCAAGCAGUAGGAACGAUUACGAAUAAUAAAAAACCAUCAACACACAAUUCUAGAUUUCGACAACCAUUCCUGCCACUUGGCUCUGGAUCAGGCUGCUUCUUCACUUGGUAUCUAAUAAUUUUGUAUAUUCUGAUCACAUAUAUGGCUUGGAUUUACAUGAAGUAAAAGAUAUCAUAGGAUUUAAUUCCAUUGUAUGUCAGCUCAUUAUUCAAAUAACCGUUUAUGUAAGAGAUUCAAGGUCAUCUCAUCGAUGAUAGUAAACAAAUUCGAAUACUGUAACUUGAGUCUAUGUAUAACGUUACAAUACAAACUUAAUAGUAAUGUGUUGGUAGUAGUGAAACAAGAAGAGAUUCUAGAUAUGCGGGCGGUCAAGGGAAAGGUAGAUCGGAAGAGACGGGGGACUGCAACCUUGUCAGUAAAACAGAGAUGCUUUGGUCCUCCUGAAAAUUUAUAAUCGAAUUGGAUGAAUAAAUGAUUGACAAAUGAGAUUUAAAAUAAUCAAUUCUGCUUUAGAAAAAGACAAUGCAAAACGUACCUGAAUAGAGGUUAGAAUUGUCAAAUUGAUUCCUUUCGAUGGACAAUUAGGUGCCAGCAGCUCAAUAACAACAAUUAACCGAAGACCUGUCCGAAAAUGUCACAAAAAAUAUCCUCAAUUGUUUUUGCAAUUACUCAAUGAUCAAGGCUGCUGUAUACCGAAUGCAAGAUGAAUGAGUAUUACACCUGCCACGAUUUGGAGCUCCGGGGAAUACCGGGAAAUGGGAACCAUGUUAUUGUUGAC